AUUGAACGCUGGCGGCAUGCCUUACACAUGCCAGUCGAACGGCAGCACGGGUGCUUGCACCUGGUGGCGAGUGGCGAACGGGUGAGUAAUACAUCGGAACAUGUCCUGUAGUGGGGGAUAGCCCGGCGAAAGCCGGAUUAAUACCGCAUACGAUCUACGGAUGAAAGCGGGGGACCUUCGGGCCUCGCGCUAUAGGGUUGGCCGAUGGCUGAUUAGCUAGUUGGUGGGGUAAAGGCCUACCAAGGCGACGAUCAGUAGCUGGUCUGAGAGGACGACCAGCCACACUGGGACUGAGACACGGCCCAGACUCCUACGGGAGGCAGCAGUGGGGAAUUUUGGACAAUGGGCGAAAGCCUGACCCAGCAAUGCCGCGUGUGUGAAGAAGGCCUUCGGGUUGUAAAGCACUUUUGUCCGGAAAGAAAUCCUUGGCCCUAAUACGGUCGGGGGAUGACGGUACCGGAAGAAUAAGCACCGGCUAACUACGUG
rnacentral:rRNA from 1 species